UCUCCGUUGGUGAACCAGCGGAGGGAUCAUUAUCGAGUUUAUAACUCCCAAACCCUAUGUGAACUUACCACUUGUUGCCUCGGCGCGCGCUUCGGUGCCGCCGAGGACACUUAAACUCUUUGCUUUUAUAAGCAUUUCUGAGUGGCCGAAAGGCAAAAUACAAAUGAAUCAAAACUUUCAACAACGGAUCUCUUGGUUCUG
rnacentral:misc_RNA from 1 species